rfam:Cajanus cajan chromosome 2, whole genome shotgun sequence.
GAAUGACAUGAUGAUUAGUAUUUCCCUAUUGGUUUGAUUGCCUGGAUGAUGGCACUCAUGUAUUAGCUCUAUCUGAUCAUUC